rnacentral:hammerhead_ribozyme from 1 species
AUCCAGCUGACGAGUCCCCAAUAGGACGAAAUGCGUGUCCCGAAU